CAAGAAGCCGAAAGGCUACUUAAAACCAUCGCGAACUUAUCCAAGUUGCUUCGGCGGCGCGGCUCCCCUCACGGGGGACCGCAGCCCCCGCCCUCUCAGGAGGUAAGGGGCAGCCGCCGGAGGUACGAAACUCUGUAUUAUAGUGGUAUCUCUGAGUAUAAAACAAAUAAGUUA
rnacentral:misc_RNA from 1 species